AUACGUAGGGAGCGAGCGUUGUCCGGAAUUACUGGGUGUAAAGGGAGCGUAGGCGGGAGUGCAAGUCAGAUGUGAAAUACAUGGGCUCAACCCAUGGGCUGCAUUUGAAACUGCAUUUCUUGAGUGAAGUAGAGGUAAGCGGAAUUCCUGGUGUAGCGGUGAAAUGCGUAGAUAUCAGGAGGAACACCGGUGGCGAAGGCGGCUUACUGGGCUGUUACUGACGCUGAGGCGCGAAAGCGUGGGGAGCAAACAGGAUUAGAUACCCUGGUAGUCCACGCUGUAAACGAUGAUUACUAGGUGUGGGGGGACUGACCCCUUCCGUGCCGCAGUUAACACAAUAAGUAAUCCACCUGGGGAGUACGGCCGCAAGGUUGAAACUCAAAUGAAUUGACGGGG
rnacentral:rRNA from 1 species